AUGCCUUUCCCAUUUCGUAUGCCUUCCCCCGUAGUUUUACAUGACUUCUUUUGGCCACUGUUUCAUUAAUAGCAUUAGGAUUUUUAUUUUCCUGAUCUGAGGGCAGGAGAAUUGGACCCAUUCUAUCUGGUAAUUCAUCAAACAGUUUCUCUACCACAAAGAACAUUUUUUCUUCCCUCUCUCUGGGUUUCUGGCAGCUCAUCUCACCCUGCCAGGGGGAGAUUGAACACUUUACUCUUUUGAAGAGUUCACAUCAGAAGAUUUCACCACAUGCCUCUAAGAUUUCACCUCAUGAGAAAUUCCCCUUCAAAUCUGUGGUUUUGCCUCUUCCCAGGACCUUUUGAAUUCCGUAAUGGCGUCAUGUGCUGGCUGUGCAGUUUGCCCCCUUUGAAGCAUUUACAGAUGCUUUUAGGAGUCUCUUUAGAAAGAAAAUGGUUGGUGGUCAUGGUGGGGGAGGGGUUGGAAAUCCCUCAGCAGCCAGAAGAUGGUCUCUGAAUAAUUCAGGACACACCGCGGGGCACUGCUAAUACCAGCUCUCCCAGGGCCGGGGUAAAUAUUAACACUCUUAUUUCUGGUCUCUGGGGAAAAUAACAGUAAUAGAAGAGGGUGUCUCUUGGCCACACGUGAUUUCAAGUGGGUUAGGCUUUCUCGAAACUCUGGCUGUACAUCAGCCUUUCCUGGGGGAAUUUAAACCAAGCCCAAUGUCCAGGCCCCUCACCAGGCCUGUGGAAUGAGAGGUCCUGGUAGUGGGACCAGGUAUGGUCGUCUUAGAAGUUUUGCAGCCGGCUCCGAUGCACACCCGGCGCUGAGAAGCUGAGAGCCGCUGCUGCAGGCCUGUGCCCAGGCUGGGUCACGCUACGGAGGAGAAGAUUUUGGAAAGAAGUAGAAGUCCUCACGGGCAACUCCCUGCCAUCCACACCAACCUCCCCUUCUUGUUCUCUCCUUCUCAUCUUAAACUUUCGAGAGGAAGAAGGGUUGGUCAAGGGUGAACGUUCCUGGGCAUGGUGAGAGGCUGCUCUGUGGUGCCCACUCACACUGAGAGGGACCAGCUGGGGACGCCUGAUGGUGCCACUGAGGCUUUGGGGUCCCCUUUCAGAGGGGGGCAUCUUAACGCGAGUCUUACGGUCUUUCCUGGGUUCCCAUGCUCGGCGGCGGCUCCUCCACAGGCCUGUCUUCCCUUUGUUCUGGAGAAUGUUCUGCCUGGGCGGAGCAUUCGGUGCGGUUACGUGGGUGCGGUUCUCCAGGGAGAGCGCGGGGGUCUCUUCAGGGUAAUGCCAACCUCACCGCCAAAUGCAGCUACCUAGCACUUGUGUUUACC
rnacentral:lncRNA from 10 species